rnacentral:piRNA from 1 species
UACUGGUGAAGAAUUUGAAAA